rnacentral:rRNA from 1 species
AGGGCGCGUAGGUGGUGGGGUAAGCGUGUGGUGAAAGCUCGGGGCUCAACCCCAGCAUUGCGUUGGAUACUGGCAGGCUUGACGGUUGGAGAGGCGAGUGGAAUUACCAGUGUAGCGGUGAAAUGCGUAGAUACUGGUAGGAACACCCAUUGCGAAGGCAGCUCGCUGGACAACACGUGACGCUGAGGCGCGAAAGUGUGGGGAGCAAACCG